rnacentral:rRNA from 1 species
UAGUUAGUUUGAUUACAAUAAAAUUAAUUUUAAUUUUUUAAGUGAAAUUUUAAAUUUAAUUAAUUUUAUAUAAAUAUUUUAAUGAAGCUAAGAAAUUUUAAUUAUAAACUAGGAUUAGAUACCCUAUUAUUUAAAAAGUAAAUAUUAAUACUUGAGUAGUAGUAGCUAUGAUCUUCAAACUUAAAGAAUUUGGCGGUGUUUUAGUCUAUUUAGAGGAACCUGUCCUAUAAUCGAUAAUCCACGUUGGACCUUACUAAAGUUUGUGAUCAAUUUGUAUAUCGCCGUUAUCAGAAUAUCUUAAAAGAGAAAUAAUUUUCUUAAUUUAUUAAUAUAAUUGAUGUCAGGUCAAGGUGCAGUUUAUAUUUUAGUAGUGAUGGGUUACAAUAAAAAUAUUUAUACAGUUAAUUAUUUGCAAUAAUGGUUUUAAGGAGGAUUUAAAAGUAAAAUAAUGUAUAUUAUUUAUUUGAUUAUAGCUCUAAAACAUGCACACAUCGCCCGUCGCUCUCAUUAUUAAAAUGAGAUAAGUCGUAACAUAGUAGAAUUAUCGGAAGAUGUUUCUAGAAUGA